rnacentral:rRNA from 1 species
CGCCUCUUGCAAAAUCAACGAAUAAGAGGUCCCGCCUGCCCUGUGACUAUAUGUUCAACGGCCGCGGUAUUUUGACCGUGCGAAGGUAGCGCAAUCACUUGUCUUUUAAAUGAAGACCUGUAUGAAUGGCAUGACGAGGGCCUAACUGUCUCCUUUUUCAAGUCAAUGAAAUUGAUCUCCCCGUGCAGAAGCGGAUAUAACCCCAUAAGACGAGAAGACCCUAUGGAGCUUUAGACAAAAGGCAGGCCACGUUAAACACCCUCCGAUAAGAGGCUAAACUUGAUGUUCACUGCCCAAAUGUCUUUGGUUGGGGUGACCGCGGCGAAAUAAAUAACCCCCGUGUGGAAAGAGGGCUCAACCCCUUCAAAUUUAAGAGCUUCCGCUCCAAAAAACAGAACAUCUGACUAAAUAAGAUCCGGCAAUGCCGAUCAACGGACCGAGUUACCCUAGGGAUAACAGCGCAAUCCCCUUCUAGAGCCCAUAUCGACAAGGGGGUUUACGACCUCGAUGUUGGAUCAGGACAUCCUAAUGGUGCAGCCGCUAUUAAGGGUUCGUUUGUUCAACGAUUAAAGUCCU